AGUAAGAGGAGGUCUUGAAACCUAAAAGAUUUGGCGGUUUUUUAGUCUGGUUAGAGGAAUCUGCCCCGUAAUCGAUGAUCCGCGUGAGAUUUUACUCUUUCUUUAAAUAUCGCCGUCGAAGACAGGUCAAGAUUUAGUUGAUGGGGGAGGUUGAGAUAGGAUUUAAAAGUUUAUAAUGUUGGUUUGAGCUCUAAAAAAUGU
rnacentral:rRNA from 1 species